CUUGCUUAAGAUAUUCGGAAUAAUAUACGAUGACGCAUUAUGCAUGUUUCGAUGUUAAAACUUAUGAUUAAUAACACCAAGUUCACCACAAUAUGGACCGUAAAAAUAAGUAGUUUGUGAAAAUUUGUGUAGUUUUUUUAAUGCCAUCAAGAUUGCUUUUUUUUUUUAAACUAAUUAUGCUAUAUUAUUCAACAUUUUAGAUAAUAUCAUAUAAUUAUUAAAAUUUAGAUCUUCUUUCAAAAUAUUUUACUAACAUGAAUUACUUUUAUUUUUUAGCCAUUGCUAUAAAAGAGGCGAUAGUUGGGGAUGAGAUCAGAUCAAUUGAUAUUAAUCCUAUAAUCAUACCUCCCCUUUAAAAUCUAGUACACCUUACAUCUCCUUGAGCUAAUUUUUUCUAAUAUCAUAAAAAAUAAAUUUUAAUGCAUUAUGUAUUAUCAUUAUCAUAAUAUGUGAUGAAU
rnacentral:lncRNA from 1 species